rnacentral:rRNA from 1 species
UUAAUGAGAGAGAUUGCUAAGAUUUUAUUUGUUAGUCAUAAUUAAUUUUAAAAGUAUUGGCGGUAUUUGAUUAAAUUCUGAGGAACUUGUUUAUUUAAAUUGAUAUUACACAUUAAAUUUUAUCUAUAAAUUGUUUUAUGUAUUGCUGUUUAAUUUAUUAUUUAUUAUUAAAAUAAAUUGAAGAAAUAUUUAAAUAAAAAAUUCAAGUCAAAAUGUAGAUUUUUAUAGGGUUAAAUGAGUUACGUUUGUAGUGAAAUAUGAAGCUGUAAAGUUAGUUGAAAUAUUAAUGAAAGUUUAAGGUAGGAUUAGGAAGUAAAAAAAAAAUAAUUAGUUUUUUUGAUAUUUUUUAUCA